UACGGGGGGGGUAAGCGUUGUUCGGAAUUACUGGGCGUAAAGGGCUCGUAGGCGGCCAACUAAGUCAGACGUGAAAUCCCUCAGCUUAACUGGGGAACUGCGUCUGAUACUGGAUGGCUUGGAUUCGGGAGAGGAAUGCGGAAUUCCAGGUGUAGCGGUGAAAUGCGCAGAUAUCAGGAGGAACACCUAUGGCGAAGGCAGCUCGCUGGGACGUUACUGACGCUGAGACGCGAAAGCGUGGGGAGCAAACAGG
rnacentral:rRNA from 1 species